AGCACCUCAAAGUCCGCGGGAGUGAUAGGUCAUCAUCAGGAGAGGCUCCAGUGGUGACAAUAGUUGUGGUUAAUUUGAUGUUGCUUACACUCCCCCAUGAGCAAUCAUCAUCAUCAUUAACAGCGCGCUUGCAGAAGCGAUUUACUUUAGGCGCAAUACGUGACGUCCUCUCCCGAAUUCGUGCCGGUUCCCGGGUCAACGAACCAUCCCGCGACAAGCGCGCGUCUCUCGUUUCCGUUUCCCACACAGGUCCGUUCCGUUCAAAAUGGACAAUCACAACUCAUCCCUGAAUCCUAGCGAGGAAACUCGUCUUUUCGGGGAGGUUCCUCAGGCGAGACCAGCCGGAGUGGGGCUGACAGCAAACAUGAAAUCUGAUGACCUUGAAAGCCCAAACCAGAUCCAGGCCAGGGUAAUUUCUGGUUCUGGUCAGUCCGCUGAUGAUGAACAGCAUGGUAAUCGUAGCUCCGGUAUCAGCAGUGCAGUCAGUAGUAUCAUGAACGUGGAUCUAGAGCCACCGGAUGUGGGCAGCUUCUCUUCAGCCGUAGCUAAACCGAUAACGGAUGCCGCGGGAACAGCAUCAACGGCCAGCUCAAAGGAUCGGACUGCGAACAACGUUGUGAUCGAUAUGGAAGGAUCACCCGUGCCAACAAACUAUAUCAACAUGAGUUGCUCAGAGAUUGUGCAGCAGCUACGAACCACCUUCAAUAGUGGGAAGACACGAGAUGUGGACUUCAGGUUGAAGCAGCUGAAUGCACUGCUGCGCUGCUAUGAAGAAAACACCGCCGAAAUGGCAAACGUGCUGGCCGCGGAUCUGCGAAAGCACAAGCAGGAAGCCCACCUUCUCGAGAUUGAGUUUAUUCUCAACGAUCUGCGCAACACAUUGUUCAAUCUGCGCGAGUGGGUGAAACCAGAAAAACCAGAGAAGAGUUUGGUGAAUCUGAUGGACGGUGUCUACAUCUACAAGGAUCCAUUCGGUGUGGUGCUCGUGAUCGGUGCCUGGAACUAUCCGCUGCAGCUAUCACUCGUCCCGGUGGCGGCUGCCAUCGCGGCCGGUAACUGUGUCGUUAUUAAGCCGAGCGAAGUUGCAACGGCCUCGGCGAAGUUUAUUGCAGAUAAGCUGCCCAAGUAUCUGGAUGGGGAUUGCUAUCGCGUUGUGACGGGUGGUCCGAAGGAAACGUCGGAGCUGCUAAAGGAAAAGUUUGAUUACGUGUUCUACACCGGUUCGGGGCGUGUGGGAAAGAUCGUGCACCAGGCUUGCAGCGAGCACCUGACCCCGUGUACGCUGGAACUCGGUGGAAAGAGCCCCUGCUACCUGGACAGUACGGCCAACAUCGCCAUCGCUACGCGGCGCAUCCUGUGGGGCAAGUUUAUCAAUGCUGGCCAAACAUGCAUUGCGCCCGAUUACGUACUCUGCAGCAAGCAGGUACAGAAGCAGUUCCUUGAGGAGGCCCGCAAGGUACUGAAGGAAUGGUAUGGUACCAAUCCCAAGGAUAGCCCCGAUCUGUGUCGCAUCAUCAACCAGAACCACUUCCAGCGGAUUUCGGGUCUGCUGAAGGGUGCCAAUGUUGCGAUCGGUGGUGAAACGGAUCUGCAGGAUCGCUACAUUUCGCCCACGAUCCUUGUCGACGUUAAGUCGACCGAUCCGGUCAUGCAGGACGAGAUCUUCGGUCCGAUUCUGCCUAUUCUGAACGUGGACAAUGCUUACGAUGCCAUCAAGUUUAUCAACUCCAGUGAUAAGCCGCUCUGCGUGUACAUCUUUAGCGAGCAAAAAGCCGACAUUAGUGCGAUGCUGGGAAACACGAGCAGCGGAGGUGUUUGCGUGAACGAUACACUAAUGCACUGUGCAGUUGAAACAUUGCCAUUUGGUGGUGUCGGUCCGAGUGGUAUGGGCUCAUACCACGGUAAGUACUCGUUCGAUACGUUCGUGCACAAGAAGGCCUGUCUGACGAAGGACUUCAACCCGAUUGGCGAGAAGCUGGCUGCUUCCCGAUAUCCGCCGUACUCGGAUAGUAAGCUGUCCUUCCUGAGCACCUUGCUGAAGAAGCGUCAAGGAAUAAACACCAAAUUUCUGCCGUACCUACUGAUGUUUGGAAUCGGCGUUGCAUCGACGCUCUUGGUCAGCACCAUCCUUAAGGAUGACGAUUAGCCUAGCAAUGGAUAAUUGUGGUACAGGGCUUAAGCCGAGUGACCAACUAAGAAAGAGACUUGACUGCAACCAAACAUCCGCAUGGACAACAUACAUUUCAACAGAGGAUUUCCACAAAAUGCAAAAGUACAAGCCGCACCCAUGGGAUGUGAGCAGACUCUAACUGUUGCACCUAGGUUUUCAAGUGAUGAACACACCAUUUUUGUGAUGGGAGGAUUUUCCAGCACCACGAUUGCGGAUUUCUGGGAUAAAAAUUACAGGGUCGGUUUAGAUAGAGCAUCGAUGACGAGCCAGACGUUAUUUAGGGCAUAAGUUUUAAUGGCGGGGACUAGAAAUCGAUUGAAAAAUUUGGAAAAGUCAGCACCAAACACGCGAGCACGUUUGGGGCACAAGCAAUAAAUGUUUAGGUGUUUUAUUAGUGA